CUACGGGGGGCUCCAGUGGGGAAUAUUGCACAAUGGAGGGAACUCUGAUGCAGCAACGCCGCGUGGAGGAUGACGCAUUUCGGUGUGUAAACUCCUUUUAUAUAGGAAGAUAAUGACGGUACUAUAUGAAUAAGCACCGGCUAACUCCGUGCCAGCAGCCGCGGUAAUACGGAGGGUGCAAGCGUUACUCGGAAUCACUGGGCGUAAAGCGCAUGCAGGCGGUUAAAUAAGUUGGAAGUGAAAUCCUAUGGCUCAACCAUAGAACUGCUUCCAAAACUGUUUAACUAGAGUCUGGGAGGGGAAGAUGGAAUUAGUAGUGUAGGGGUAAAAUCCGUAGAGAUUACUAGGAAUACCAAAAGCGAAGGCGAUCUUCUGGAACAGUACUGACGCUGAGAUGCGAAAGCGUGGGGAGCAAACAGGAUUAGAUACCCGAGUAGUC
rnacentral:rRNA from 1 species